rnacentral:rRNA from 1 species
AGUUUGAUCCUGGCUCAGGACGAACGCUGGCGGCGUGCUUAACACAUGCAAGUCGAACGAGAAGAGAUGAGAAGCUUGCUUCUUAUUGAUUCGAGUGGCAAACGGGUGAGUAACGCGUAAGCAACCUGCCCUCUAGAUGGGGACAACAGCUGGAAACGGCUGCUAAUACCGAAUACGUUCUUUCUGUCGCAUGGCAGAGGAGAGAAAGGGGAGCUCUUUUGGGACUCUUUCGUGGGAGAGAAGGCCUUCCGUUCUAUAUUACUAUAGGUGGAAAGGGAAACCGCCCCACCAAAGGGGAGAAAUCAAGUACCCGGUUUUGAAGAGGAUAAACGCGCCCACAUUGGGGAUUGAAGCACCGGCCCCAAGACUCCUUAGGGGGAGGCAACCAGUGGGGAAUCUUUCCGCAAAUGGACGAAAAUUCUGACGGAAGCAACCCCCGCGUUAAACGAUGACGGCCUUUCGGGUUGUAAAGUUCUUGUUAUACGGGACGAAAUGGUACGACGGUCAAAUACCCGUCGGUAAGUGACGGUACCGUAAGAGAAAGCCACGGCUAACUACGUGCCAGCAGCCGCGGUAAUACGUAGGUGGCAAGCGUUGUCCGGAAUUAUUGGGCGUAAAGGGCGCGCAGGCGGCGUCGUAAGUCGGUCUUAAAAGUGCGGGGCUUAACCCCGUGAGGGGACCGAAACUGCGAUGCUAGAGUAUCGGAGAGGAAAGCGGAAUUCCUAGUGUAGCGGUGAAAUGCGUAGAUAUUAGGAGGAACACCAGUGGCGAAAGCGGCUUUCUGGACGACAACUGACGCUGAGGCGCGAAAGCCAGGGGAGCAAACGGGAUUAGAUACCCCGGUAGUCCUGGCCGUAAACGAUGGAUACUAGGUGUAGGAGGUAUCGACCCCUUCUGUGCCGGAGUUAACGCAAUAAGUAUCCCGCCUGGGGAGUACGGCCGCAAGGCUGAAACUCAAAGGAAUUGACGGGGGCCCGCACAAGCGGUGGAGUAUGUGGUUUAAUUCGACGCAACGCGAAGAACCUUACCAAGCCUUGACAUUGAUUGCUAGGGACAGAGAUGUCCCGUUCCUCUUCGGAGGACAAGAAAACAGGUGGUGCACGGCUGUCGUCAGCUCGUGUCGUGAGAUGUUGGGUUAAGUCCCGCAACGAGCGCAACCCCUAUCUUCUGUUACCAGCGGUUCGGCCGGGGACUCAGGAGAGACUGCCGCAGACAAUGCGGAGGAAGGCGGGGAUGACGUCAAGUCAUCAUGCCCCUUAUGGCUUGGGCUACACACGUACUACAAUGGCUCUUAAUAGAGGGAGGCGAAGGAGCGAUCCGGAGCAAACCCCAAAAACAGAGUCCCAGUUCGGAUUGCAGGCUGCAACCCGCCUGCAUGAAGCAGGAAUCGCUAGUAAUCGCAGGUCAGCAUACUGCGGUGAAUACGUUCCCGGGCCUUGUACACACCGCCCGUC